CAGCAGCCGCGGUAAUACGGAGGGGGCUAGCGUUGUUCGGAAUUACUGGGCGUAAAGCGUGCGUAGGCGGUUCGUUAAGUCUGUUGUGAAAGCCCCGGGCUCAACCUGGGAAUGGCAAUGGAUACUGGCGAGCUAGAGUGUGUCAGAGGAUGGUGGAAUUCCCGGUGUAGCGGUGAAAUGCGUAGAGAUCGGGAGGAACAUCAGUGGCGAAGGCGGCCAUCUGGGACAACACUGACGCUGAGGCACGAAAGCGUGGGGAGCAAACAGGAUUAGAUACCCCAGUAGUCCCUGUCUCUUAUAA
rnacentral:rRNA from 1 species